UUACUCUGGUUUCUCUUCAGUCUGCAUAAGUCUUUCGCCUUUUACUAAAGACUUCCGUGGAAAGUGACAUUGAGCACCAAACCAAAC
rnacentral:snRNA from 1 species